rnacentral:lncRNA from 1 species
CAGGCCAAUGCAACCGGCAAUCGCAGGAGUAGAUAGAUGCGCCGUUUGGGAUUGUGCACUUGGUACGCCGUACGUAUGUGUACGUACGUGCGUGAGCCCGCGGAUCGAUCCAGCACCGGGACCAAAAUCUACGCACAUGUAUGGCACAUGCACUCGCGCACGAGAGGAACACGGCCGGACGAACUCGCGAGAUGAGUAAUUCCCUCCAUCCUAAAAAAUCACUACGAGAGUUGUGUCCAUUUAAAUUAAUAGCUGUGCCUCAUAUCUGCGCCAACACAAAACCCAGCGAUCAAGCAAGAACGCAAGCGCGAUUGCGGCGACCCAUGCGAGGAAAAUAAUCCUCAGGAUUCAUGGAUAUGAAGGACAUGCAUGCUUGGCACAAGCUAAUUAAGAGGGGUACGGUGUGUAUUUGUGUAGUUGCUUGGUGUACUAGUAUUAUCUCAGCACCACAGAUUAGUACGUGAAACAAUUGGGCUCCGUUUGGUUCUCCUUGCUAAAUUUUAGCUAGCUAAAAUUAUUUUAGUUAUUCUUGGGUGACUAAUAGAACUAAACUAUUUUAGCUUCUUCUUUUAGUCAAUAUGUUUAGGACUUUAGCUACUAAAGUAAUAAAAGUUUAGCUAGCUAAAAUUUAGCAAGGAAAACCAACAGAGCUUUGGUGUCGUCCAAGCAAUAGCUUAGUGCCUCAAGUCCAUCAGCACCACUGACGCGCAUCGGGCGGGUGUCGUCCUAGGCAGUCACGUUGCAUGCAGUCACGUUACAUGAAAAUGGAAGGUUGAAAGGUUCUAAUGUCUAGAGAGAACGAAUAGCCUAUAAAAAUUUCUACAAUAAUACCAAGCAAAGUGAUUAGACUAAAACGAGGCAAAAGAAAAUAUUACGCUAGCCUACUAAAAAUGCAAUUUCUUUUCAGUUUUCGUUGUUUGAUUUUAUUUUAUUUUCUGUCCUUUCCUUAUUCUUUUCUUGUUUUAAUUUUACCUUUUAUUUUCUCUUUCUUUUGGUUUUAUUUUUAUUGUUCUUCCUUGCUUCUAUUUGUUUUUUUUUCUUUUUAGGUUUUCUAUGUUUCUUCAUUCUUAUUUUAUAUUUUAUUUCUUUUUAAUCUUCUUUUUAUCCUUAUUUAAAUUAUUCAUUUAUUUUAUUUGCUAUAUGCAUUUUUUAUCAUUUGUUAAUCAUGUUUGUUUUUAUAUUUUUCUUCUUAGUAAUUUUAUUUUAUAUUUUUAUUUUCUAUAUAUAUAUGUGAUAUUUAUGUAGUAUAUAUUUAGUGUUUUAUAUUGUGUUAUGUCAUGUUUACGUAGUAUACAUGUGAUGUUCUAUGAUGUUUCUUAUGGUGGUCACUUUGUAUACAUGUAAUCUAUAAUAGAUGUGAUGUUCUAUAAUAAAUUUAAUGAUAUUUUAUGAUGUAUUUAGUGAUGUUAAUGUUCUAUAAAUAUAUUUACGAUAUUUGAAAAGUAACCCUUUGACAUUAUUUGAAAAUUUUCUCCAUUUUGUGUUUUUAUUUUUUCUUAUGCUUUUUACUCUAUAUUUUAUUAUUAUUUUUAUCUAUGUCAUGUAUUUAUGUAUUUUAUCGAUAACAUUUUUUUACAAAGACAGAAUAUUGUCGGUUGAACCUAGAAUAUUGUCUCUACUUAAUAAAAAAAAUAUUUUAUCUUUAUAAGAUAAAUAUUCAUUAAUAAAAUUUUAUCUAAAUAUAUCUGUGUAGGAUCUUGUUUUGAAGGAUUUGUUAUAAGAAAUUUAAUGGUGCAAUCAGAAUUUAAUUUAUAUCUCUGGUUUAGGAGUUAUGAAUUUUUUUAAUUCGCUAAAACAAUUUUGCAUGCAUAGUUGAGUUAGGUUGAUGAGAUAGCUUAUCAUCGCGUAGUAAAAAAGACCACAGAAGGGAUAAGAGUUGUGGAUGGGUCCUCUCUCCAUAAUUUUUAGUUGUAGAGAUAAAUAUUCAUUAAUAAAAUUUUAUCUAAAUAUAUCCAUGUGUGAUAUUGUUUUGAAGGAUUUGUUAUAAGAAAUUUAGUGGUGCAAUCGAAAUUUAAUUUAUAUCUUCGGUUUAAGAGUUAUUACUUUUUUUUAAUUCGCUAAAACAAUUUUGCAUGCAUGGGUGAGUGAGACCUGGGUUGAUAGGACCUCAUGACAUAGUAAAAGAGACGGGAGUUAUGGCUAUACUAUGUAUAUGGUAGACGGGUUCUUUCUAUAAUUUUUAUAAUUUUUAGUUAUGGAGAUUAGCAAGGAGGAACACGCUAACACUUUACACUGCACGUCGUACGUGUGCAUAGUAUAUCGUAGGGUGAUACUACCUUGGCGACACAGUCGUACUGUGUGUAUACAUACGCAACGCACGUGGCACGUUCGUCGUACGUAAUUAACGUGCGCACGAGCGCGCGCGCCCGCGGUCUCCAGCCGACUGUUUUGAUUGGCGAGCAAAACGCAAACAUCAUUAAUCAAUUGAUUAUUAUCUUUCUCACCGCGACGGCACGCGCGCGGAUGCAUUGCAUUCAUGGUGUGGCCGCGCGCGUUGACACAGCAGAUCGACGAGACAUCGAUGGAUCCAUCAAUCGCGCCCGGCCGGCCGAUCGAAUCCCCCCGAUCGAGAACAGUGAGUUCGCAGGGCCGCCGUACGUACCUGUACGUACGUGUACGUAUAGCAGUAGUAGUCCGUGCACGCGCGCGCGCAUGCGUGUGAUACAACCCUGCUGAUGAUGUGACAUCGUCGACCGACCCGGCCGCGGUGGAUCCGGCGAGCGUGCAGAGAUCUGUUUCGCUUCCAUGCACACCAGUACGUGUACGUACGACGAUCCAGGAGCUAGCGUAACAGCGGACGUCGGAUCGGAUCCCCGGCCGGCACGUACACAAUACAAACUAACGUCGAUCGAUUGAUGAUCAACUAAAGAGUAAAGAGUUACUAUCUACUUCCUCCAUCCCAAAUUGUAAGUUAUUCUAAGAAUCUUGGAGAGUCAAACUUUUGUAAGUUUGAUCAAAUUUAUAUUAUAAAAUAAUAAUUAUUAUGGUACUAACUAAGUAUUAUUAGAUUUUUUUUCUUAGUUAUAUUUUCAUAGUAUACUCAAUUUACGUUACAAAUCUUAGUAUUUUUCUCUAUAACUUUGGU